UCAGGACGAACGCUGGCGGCGUGCCUAAUACAUGCAAGUCGAACGGUCUUUCUAUGGAAGCUUGCUUCCACUGAGAAGAUAGUGGCGAACGGGUGAGUAACACGUGGGUAACCUGCCCAUAAGAGGGGGGAGUAACAUCCGGAAACGGGUGCUAAUACCGCAUAGUUUUCUUGAUCGCAUGAUCGGGAAAGGAAAGACGGCCUUUGUGCUGUCGCUUAUGGAUGGACCCGCGGCGUAUUAGUUAGUUGGUGAGGUAACGGCUCACCAAGACGAUGAUACGUAGCCGACCUGAGAGGGUGAUCGGCCACAUUGGGACUGAGACACGGCCCAAACUCCUACGGGAGGCAGCAGUAGGGAAUCUUCCGCAAUGGACGAAAGUCUGACGGAGCAACGCCGCGUGAGUGAAGAAGGUUUUCGGAUCGUAAAACUCUGUUGUCAGAGAAGAACAAGUCGGAGAGUAACUGCUCCGGCCUUGACGGUAUCUGACCAGAAAGCCACGGCUAACUACGUGCCAGCCGCCGC
rnacentral:rRNA from 1 species